CCUACGGGUGGCUGCAGUGGGGAAUAUUGGACAAUGGGCGAAAGCCUGAUCCAGCCAUGCCGCGUGUGUGAAGAAGGCCUUCGGGUUGUAAAGCACUUUCAGUGGGGAAGAAAGCCUUGGGGCUAAUACCCUCGAGGAAGGACAUCACCCACAGAAGAAGCACCGGCUAACUCCGUGCCAGCAGCCGCGGUAAUACGGAGGGUGCGAGCGUUAAUCGGAAUUACUGGGCGUAAAGCGCGCGUAGGCGGUCUGAUAAGCCGGUUGUGAAAGCCCCGGGCUCAACCUGGGAACGGCAUCCGGAACUGUCAGGCUAGAGUGCAGGAGAGGAAGGUAGAAUUCCCGGUGUAGCGGUGAAAUGCGUAGAGAUCGGGAGGAAUACCAGUGGCGAAGGCGGCCUUCUGGACUGACACUGACGCUGAGGUGCGAAAGCGUGGGUAGCAAACAGGAUUAGAUACCCCAGUGGU
rnacentral:rRNA from 1 species